rnacentral:lncRNA from 1 species
GGUCAGAGUAGCAUAGGGGAGAUGCUGAAGGCAGAAGAAGGGCUUGCUGAAGGUGGAGGAUGAGUUCCUUCCUUCCUAAGGUCACUCAGACUGAGAGGUGGGUUAUCACCCAGAAUGUUGGUACAGUUUUCUUUCCAGGAAGCAAAGAGCUCAUGGUCACAGCUGGGAUGCACUUAUCUGUCUCCCCAAACCCAGAUCCAAAUUCCUCUUAGAUCUCACUCUGUUCAUACAAUGUCUGUGACAAUGACAAGAGCACCAAGAUGUCUGAGUCAGAGUCCUGUGCUGCCUCAGAGCCUCCUGAGGGGAGGAGGUUACUUCUCAGAACAAAAAUCAUCUUUGCCUGGAGAAGGAACUCUCAAGGAUGCAGUGGUGUGAUCCCAGCAAUACAAGGCAAGCAGGGUUGGCAGACACCACCUGGCACCCUUGAGGUACAUGACUGAAACACAAGCAAAAUCUGUUGCCAACACAAACACAGAAAAUUUCCAGCAUUCGGCGUGCCUGGCUUCUCCAGAAGGUAACAGGACCUGAUCAUCUUGGGCCCCAUGCUGUGAAAGAUGCCAAUAUGUGGGAGCUCAUAGUUUAUCCUGCCUCUCCACACCCUGGGAGCCUCCCUGCUGCUUCCUGCUGGCCUUUCAGUUGCCUCUGACCUGGAUCCUAGAGGCACUGGAUCUUGUGACAUCAACUUUAGAACAAAAGUGACAGGAAACAGAGCAACACCUUGUAAUGUGAAGACCUAGCUUCAAGUUCUGCAUUCCAUCAGCUGUCUGAACAUGCAUGGCCCCUCCAUUCUCUUGUCUUUUAUCUGGUGGUGGUGAAGAAAGGACACGUGGAGAUCUCUCUCUAUAUAUAUCAGCCAUGACCAUGGUCUUUGAAGUACAGCACAGACACUGGCUGAGCUUGAGGCCUCCCUCGUUUAAUCACAUGAGGCUUUCUGGGGAUCAUUGUGCUGAUGAUGAUUGGCAUAAGAUGGGGUUCCAGAUCAUUCCCUUGCCUUUGACGCUCUAUGAGAGCUUUUGCUCAUGAUGUUGGAAAUUAUGACACCAGCCAGAACUCUGGGCCCGUCACCCUGCUUUCACCACAAGGAGGAAAUGCAAGGAAGCACAUGCUCUGACUUUCUCUCUCUC